CCACAGUUGGAGUCGCUCGUGCAUCGGCUGUUGAGAUAGUCAAGAUGAUUACAAUAUGGAUGUUUAUGUUGAGUGUUGGUGUAAGUUUGGGUCAAUACUUUGGCAAGGGAGGAGAAUCUUUCACUGACCAACAGAACCAACGCAUUUCUUUAACUCGACCGAAUACAGUUAUUGCUCCAAAUGCAUUUGUAAGGAACCUACAGAUUCAGAACGCCCUCCCAGUGCAGCAGGGGUUCCCAGUUCAGCCUCGGUAACAGCCUUUACCUUUUAAUCAGUUCAACAUUCCCCAAAACGUUCCAAUCCAGCCGCAAGUUUUCCAGUCACCACAAGUGGCAUUUCCUCCGUUCUCGCCACAACCACCUGUGGUGCAGUCUGCUUCUCCACUACCUACACAGUCGCCCCUGAACCUUUGUGGCCACUCCUCCGCUCUUGUACACGCCACUUACAAAACCCGCGGGUACCACUUAUCCUGGUGCAGAACCCAAGCCACCUUCAGUUGGGAUCAAGGCAAUUCCUAUUGUUCGGGUCUUGGUAGAGACUUCAGACUUGUCUCCAUCGAAUCCAAAGAUAUUGAUGACUUUAUUACUGACAUCAUUGCUAGACAUGCAGUAAAGUUCUUCUGGACUGGCGGCAACAAACGAGGUUAUGGCGUCUGGCGGUGGCUGUCGGGAAGCUUGGUGACUUACCGCAAGUGGUCCCAUACUGGAGGGAAUGGUCAGCCACAACCAGACAACCGUGAGGGACACGAGGACUGCUUAGCAGUGAUGAAUAACUUCUACAACGACGGCAUUAAGUGGCACGACAUUGCUUGCUACCACGAUAAGCCCGUCAUUUGUGAGACUUCGGUCUUGCCUUCUCCUUAUUCUAACUUUUAAUGGUAUUGACCAACAACGGCACUAGUUGUGACCGAUAAAUGUUACUGGCUGCUUCUAUUGCUCUAGCAUAAUUUGUGAAAUUGGAAUUUAUAUAAUCUACUUUGUCUCAAAUGCCAUCACCAAUUAGAGGUGGAAAGGGAGAGCUUGCACAUACACUAAUUGGUUUGUAUAAUCUCAUAAAACCGUUGGUUAUUAAUAACCAAUAUUUAUAAGAUGACAGAUUUGUAAUAACCUUAACGUUAAGUUCACCUGAAGUAUUAAUCUUUAGGACGUUUACUUUUUUUUUAUUUUCUUGGUAUGUAUGUUCAUCUAGUUGUGCUUGCAAAGAAAAGUCUUUGGCUCUUUACAUUCA
rnacentral:lncRNA from 1 species